rnacentral:tRNA from 1 species
GCCCUGGUGGUGAAAUUGGCAGACACGCCAGCUUUAGGAGCUGGUUCCGCAAGGAUUGAGAGUUCGAGUCUCUCCCAGGGCA